rnacentral:tRNA from 1 species
GGGGAUUAGCUCAGUUGGUAGAGCAUCUGCUUUGCACGCAGAGGGUCAGGAGUUCGAAUCUCCUAACCUCC